rnacentral:rRNA from 1 species
CCUACGGGUGGCUGCAGUGGGGAAUAUUGGACAAUGGGGGCAACCCUGAUCCAGCCAUGCCGCGUGUGUGAAGAAGGCCCUCUGGUUGUAAAGCACUUUCAGUGAGGAAGAACGCCUGGUGGUUAAUACCCAUCAGGAAAGACAUCACUCACAGAAGAAGCACCGGCUAACUCCGUGCCAGCAGCCGCGGUAAUACGGAGGGUGCGAGCGUUAAUCGGAAUUACUGGGCGUAAAGCGCGCGUAGGUGGCUUGAUAAGCCGGUUGUGAAAGCCCCGGGCUCAACCUGGGAACGGCAUCCGGAACUGUCAAGCUAGAGUGCAGGAGAGGAAGGUAGAAUUCCCGGUGUAGCGGUGAAAUGCGUAGAGAUCGGGAGGAAUACCAGUGGCGAAGGCGGCCUUCUGGACUGACACUGACACUGAGGUGCGAAAGCGUGGGUAGCAAACAGGAUUAGAUACCCCAGUAGUC